GGAGGGUUAGCCAAGUGGUUACGGCAACGGUUUGCUAAACCGUGUACCCCAAAAGGGUACCGUGGGUUCGAUUCCCACACCCUCCGCCA
rnacentral:tRNA from 1 species